rnacentral:rRNA from 1 species
CGAACGAUGAAGCCCAGCUUGCUGGGUGGAUUAGUGGCGAACGGGUGAGUAACACGUGGGUGAUCUGCCCUGCACUCUGGGAUAAGCCUGGGAAACUGGGUCUAAUACCGGAUAUGACCUCGGGAUGCAUGUCCUGGGGUGGAAAGUUUUUCGGUGCAGGAUGAGCCCGCGGCCUAUCAGCUUGUUGGUGGGGUAAUGGCCUACCAAGGCGACGACGGGUAGCCGGCCUGAGAGGGCGACCGGCCACACUGGGACUGAGACACGGCCCAGACUCCUACGGGAGGCAGCAGUGGGGAAUAUUGCACAAUGGGCGCAAGCCUGAUGCAGCGACGCCGCGUGAGGGAUGACGGCCUUCGGGUUGUAAACCUCUUUCACCCAUGACGAAGCGCAAGUGACGGUAGUGGGAGAAGAAGCACCGGCCAACUACGUGCCAGCAGCCGCGGUAAUACGUAGGGUGCGAGCGUUGUCCGGAAUUACUGGGCGUAAAGAGCUCGUAGGCGGUUUGUCGCGUCGUCUGUGAAAUCCCGCAGCUCAACUGCGGGCUUGCAGGCGAUACGGGCAGACUCGAGUACUGCAGGGGAGACUGGAAUUCCUGGUGUAGCGGUGAAAUGCGCAGAUAUCAGGAGGAACACCGGUGGCGAAGGCGGGUCUCUGGGCAGUAACUGACGCUGAGGAGCGAAAGCGUGGGUAGCGAACAGGAUUAGAUACCCUGGUAGUCCACGCCGUAAACGGUGGGCGCUAGGUGUGGGUUUCCUUCCACGGGAUCCGUGCCGUAGCCAACGCAUUAAGCGCCCCGCCUGGGGAGUACGGCCGCAAGGCUAAAACUCAAGGAAUUGACGGGGGCCCGCACAAGCGGCG